rnacentral:rRNA from 1 species
GACAGAGGUGCCAAGCGUUAGGCGGAAUCACUGGGCUUAAAGCGUGUGUAGGCGGAUCGUUAAGUACCUUGUGAAAUCCCACGGCUCAACCGUGGAACUGCUGGGUAUACUGGCGAUCUUGAGCCACCUAGGGGCGAGCGGAACAAGCGGUGGAGCGGUGAAAUGCGUAGAUAUCGCUUGGAACGCCAAUGGUGAAAACAGCUCGCUGGGGGUGUGCUGCGCUGAGACACGAAAGCCAGGGGAGCGAACGGG